rnacentral:rRNA from 1 species
CGCGAAUUCGCCCUUCGGGGCGCAGCAGGCGCGAAAACUUUACAAUGCGGGAAACCGUGAUAAGGGGACACCGAGUGCCGGCAUCAUAUGCUGGCUGUCCAGGUGUGUAAAAUACACCUGUUAGCAAGGGCCGGGCAAGACCGGUGCCAGCCGCCGCGGUAACACCGGCGGCCCGAGUGGUGAUCGUGAUUAUUGGGUCUAAAGGGUCCGUAGCCGGUCUGGUCAGUCCUCCGGGAAAUCUGACGGCUCAACCGUUAGGCUUUCGGGGGAUACUGCCAGGCUUGGAACCGGGAGAGGUAAGAGGUACUACAGGGGUAGGAGUGAAAUCUUGUAAUCCCUGUGAGACCACCUGUGGCGAAGGCGUCUUACCAGAACGGGUUCGACGGUGAGGGACGAAAGCUGGGGGCACGAACCGGAUUAGAUACCCGGGUAGUCCCAGCCGUAAACGAUGCUCGCUAGGUGUCAGGCAUGGCGCGACCGUGUCUGGUGCCGCAGGGAAGCCGUGAAGCGAGCCACCUGGGAAGUACGGCCGCAAGGCUGAAACUUAAAGGAAUUGGCGGGGGAGCAC